rnacentral:rRNA from 1 species
GACGAACGCUGGCGGCGUGCCUAACACAUGCAAGUCGAACGAACGGCGAGAAGCUUGCUUCUCAAAGUUAGUGGCGGACGGGUGAGUAACGCGUGAGUAACCUGCCUAUCAGAGGGGGAUAACGUCUGGAAACGGACGCUAAUACCGCAUGAUACCACAGUAUCGCAUGAUACACUGGUCAAAGGAGAAAUCCGCUGAUAGAUGGACUCGCGUCUGAUUAGAUAGUUGGUGAGGUAACGGCUCACCAAGUCGACGAUCAGUAGCCGGACUGAGAGGUUGAACGGCCACAUUGGGACUGAGACACGGCCCAG